GGCUACAGAACGAACGCUGGCGGCGCGCUUAAGCAUGCAAGUCGAACGGCAAGAGGUAGCAAUACCUCCUAGAGUGGCGGACUGGUGAGUAACACGUGGGUGACAUACCCUUCAGGAUGGGGAUAGCUAUUAGAAAUAGUAGAUAAUACCGAAUACGAGCACAGGGGUUAGAGAUCUGUGAGGAAAGGAGCCAAGGCUCCGCUGAAGGAAUGGCCUGCGGCCCAUUAGCUAGUUGGUGAGGUAAGAGCCCACCAAGGCGAUGAUGGGUAUCCGGCCUUAGAGGGUGAACGGACACAUUGGGACUGAGAUACGGCCCAGACUCCUACGGGAGGCAGCAGCUAAGAAUAUUCCGCAAUGGACGAAAGUCUGACGGAGCGACGCCGCGUGGAUGAAGAAGGCCGGAAGGUUGUAAAAAUCCUUUUGAAACUGAAGAAUAAGCGUUGUAGGGAAUGACAGCGUGGUGACAGUAGGUUUUGAAUAAGCAACGGCUAAUUACGUGCCAGCAGCGGC
rnacentral:rRNA from 1 species